rnacentral:rRNA from 1 species
GACGAACGCUGGCGGCGUGCUUAACACAUGCAAGUCGAACGGAAAGGCCCUGCUUUUGUGGGGUGCUCGAGUGGCGAACGGGUGAGUAACACGUGAGUAACCUGCCCUUGACUUUGGGAUAACUUCAGGAAACUGGGGCUAAUACCGGAUAGGAGCUCCUGCUGCAUGGUGGGGGUUGGAAAGUUUCGGCGGUUGGGGAUGGACUCGCGGCUUAUCAGCUUGUUGGUGGGUAGUGGCUUACCAAGGCAUUGACGGGUAGCCGGCCUGAGAGGGUGACCGGCAACAUUGGGACUGAGAGACGGCCCAGACUCCUACGGGAGGCAGCAGUGGGGAAUAUUGAACAAUGGGCGGAAGCCUGAUGCAGCAACGCCGCGUGCGGGAUGACGGCCUUAGGGUUGUAAACCGCUUUCGCCUGUGACGAAGCGUGAGUGACGGUAAUGGGUAAAGAAGCACCGGCUAACUACGUG